UGGUGGAGUGAUUUGUCUGCUCAAUUGCGAUAACGAACGAGACCUUAACCUGCUAAAUAGCCAGGCCCGCUUUGGCGGGUCGCCGGCUUCUUAGAGGGACUAUCGGCUCAAGCCGAUGGAAGUUUGAGGCAAUAACA
rnacentral:rRNA from 1 species